rnacentral:rRNA from 1 species
GUGAGGAAUAUUGGUCAAUGGGCGGGAGCCUGAACCAGCCAAGUCGCGUGAAGGAAGAAGGAUCUAUGGUUCGUAAACUUCUUUUGCAGGGGAAUAAAGUGCAGGGCGUGUCCUGUUUUGUAUGUACCCUGAGAAUAAGGAUCGGCUAACUCCGUGCCAGCAGCCGCGGUAAUACGGAGGAUCCGAGCGUUAUCCGGAUUUAUUGGGUUUAAAGGGUGCGUAGGUGGUUUGAUAAGUCAGCGGUGAAAGUUUGCAGCUUAACUGUAAAAAUGCCGUUGAAACUGUCGGACUUGAGUGUAAAUGAGGUAGGCGGAAUGCGUGGUGUAGCGGUGAAAUGCAUAGAUAUCACGCAGAACUCCGAUUGCGAAGGCAGCUUACUAAGCUACAACUGACACUGAAGCACGAAAGCGUGGGGAUCAAACAGGAUUAGAUACCCUGGUAGUCC